AUUGAACGCUGGCGGCAGGCCUAACACAUGCAAGUCGAGCGAGCGGCGGACGGGUGAGUAAUGUCUGGGAAACUGCCUGAUGGAGGGGGAUAACUACUGGAAACGGUAGCUAAUACCGCAUACCCUCAGAUGUGCCCAGAUGGGAUUAGCUAGUAGGUGGGGUAACGGCUCACCUAGGCGACGAUCCCUAGCUGGUCUGCGAGGAUGACCAGCAACACUGGAACUGAAACACGGUCCAGACUCCUACGCGAGGCAGCAGUGGGGAAUAUUGCACAAUGUGCGCAAUCCUGAUGCAGCCAUGCCGCGUGUAUGAAGAAGGCCUUCGGGUUGUAAAGUAGUUUCAGCGGGGAGGCGUUACCCGCAGAAGAAGCACAGGCUAACUCCGUGCCAGCAGCCGCGGGAAUUC
rnacentral:rRNA from 1 species